rnacentral:tRNA from 1 species
AGAUAAUGAAGUAAUAAUUACAGUUAGUUUCGACCUAAUUUAAGAGAGAUAUUUCUCCUUGUCUA